rnacentral:rRNA from 1 species
GGAAGAUGUAACGGGGCUAAAUCUAGUACCGAAGCUGCGGAUCUCGUAAGAGAUGGUAGAGGAGCGUUCUGUAAGUCUGUGAAGGUGAAUCGUAAGGUUUGCUGGAGAUAUCAGAAGUGCGAAUGCUGACAUGAGUAACGAUAAAGGGGGUGAAAAACCCCCUCGCCAGAAGUCCAAGGUUUCCUACGCAACGUUAAUCGGCGUAGGGUUAGUCGGCCCCUAAGGCGAGGCAGAAAUGCGUAGUCGAUGGGAAACGGGUUAAUAUUCCCGUACUUGGAAUAAUUGCGAUGGGGGGACGGAGCAGGCUAAACAAGCAUGGCGUUGGUUGUCCAUGUGAAAGUAUGUAGGCUGGAAUCUUAGGUAAAUCCGGGAUUCUAAGGCUGAG